rnacentral:rRNA from 1 species
CCUACGGGAGGCUGCAGUGGGGAAUAUUGGACAAUGGGCGAAAGCCUGAUCCAGCCAUGCCGCGUGUGUGAAGAAGGCCUUCGGGUUGUAAAGCACUUUCAGUGGGGAAGAAAGCCUUGGGGCUAAUACCCUCGAGGAAGGACAUCGCCCACAGAAGAAGCACCGGCUAACUCCGUGCCAGCAGCCGCGGUAAUACGGAGGGUGCGAGCGUUAAUCGGAAUUACUGGGCGUAAAGCGCGCGUAGGCGGUCUGAUAAGCCGGUUGUGAAAGCCCCGGGCUCAACCUGGGAACGGCAUCCGGAACUGUCAGGCUAGAGUGCAGGAGAGGAAGGUAGAAUUCCCGGUGUAGCGGUGAAAUGCGUAGAGAUCGGGAGGAAUACCAGUGGCGAAGGCGGCCUUCUGGACUGACACUGACGCUGAGGUGCGAAAGCGUGGGUAGCAAACAGGAUUAGAUACCCCUGUAGUC